ACUACGGGUGGCAGCAGUGGGGGAUAUUGCACAAUGGGGGGAACCCUGAUGCAGCGACGCCGCGUGGGUGAAGAAGCGCCUCGGCGCGUAAAGCCCUGUCAGCAGGGAAGAAAAUGACGGUACCUGAAGAAGAAGCCCCGGCUAACUACGUGCCAGCAGCCGCGGUAAUACGUAGGGGGCAAGCGUUAUCCGGAUUUACUGGGUGUAAAGGGGGCGCAGACGGCGAUGCAAGCCAGGAGUGAAAGCCCGGGGCCCAACCCCGGGACUGCUCUUGGAACUGCGUGGCUGGAGUGCAGGAGGGGCAGGCGGAAUUCCUGGUGUAGCGGUGAAAUGCGUAGAUAUCAGGAGGAACACCGGUGGCGAAGGCGGCCUGCUGGACUGCAACUGACGUUGAGGCCCGAAAGCGUGGGGAGCAAACAGGAUUAGAUACCCCAGUAGUA
rnacentral:rRNA from 1 species